rnacentral:lncRNA from 1 species
AUGCUGUUUAUGGCUUGUGGGGUAAUGGCUCCAGCAGAGCUAAUAGUCGGCACCAGUCUGGACAUCAUUGCAGGAGAAAGAUUCACUUCUCACGGAGAUGACUACUGCAGUUGCCCCAGCCUGUGUGAGGUCUCCGCGAGGGUCACUCUCCUGACAUCUUGCAGUAGUUACCUGAUAGUUGCUUCUGGUUGGAGAAUCAUACAUGAAAAUAUGCCUCUUCACUGCAAAUAAGGGCUGUUUAUAUAUCAAGUAUGUUAACUUUUAUGAUUGAAGUUACACAGUUGUAAGAUGAAUUUUGUACAGCUAUUGCUAUUAUAAUAUAAAUACAAUACCAAUAUGUUUUUCAUGCUGUUGUAGUCAAAAUGCAAUACAAAUCCUUUGAAAAUAUUCAUGGGAAAAUAUUUUGCUUUUAAAGAUGUCUGCAUUCUAUAUCUGUCUAUUUUUCCAUAGAAGUAUUAUCACUUGACUUGCAUUAAAACAUGCUAUCGUUAAAGCCCGCCUUAUGCAAGCAUCCGUGUUUGGUUCUGAUACUCAGUGGUAAAAACCUGAACUGUCCAGGCUAAUUAUUCUGUUCAGAUGACAGCGGUCCCAUGUAGUCACUUCCAUAAAUACAUUAGAAGAUGAAUGAUGCCAAGGCAAAUUUUUAUUUCACUUACAGACCCACAGUGUACCUUUUCUGUUGAUGAUCAGCAUUCCUGGGCUGUAAUUUUGGACUCUUCAUUAUCAUCAUCUCAGCUAAAACCACCACAGCAUGUGAUAUUUUUACAUAAUUAAACUUUGUCUCUAUCCUUGGCUUAUUACCCAAGCCACUGAAGUCCUUUCCAAACCCCUCAGGGCAAUGGUUAUGGAAAGAGUUCCUACAAACUGUAGGGACCAGUGGACUAUCUAUUAAGUAGGAACCAUGCCUUUUUGUGUUGGUGGUGUUGUUUUUACUGGGGAAAUUUGGUGUUUGUUGUCUAUGUCUAUAUCACUUCAGUAGUUUUGUGAUUAAACUGUCUUGAGUGCUACGUCAUGUCAAGUGCAAGUCAUUUUAACUUCUGAGGAGACUCAAAGACCAUGGUAAAGGCAGAAGGACCAUGAACUACACCAAGGUGGGAUGCAGUGCAGGCAUAAAGCAGCAUGUGCCUUAUCACCCACUGUAAGGUGUGGUCUCUGCUCACAAGGCUCAGACCAAGUGUGCCAUCUCUGACAAGGUGUUAGUAUGGGAUGUUUAAGUAUUCUUUCAGUUAAA